rnacentral:rRNA from 1 species
GACGAACGCUGGCGGCGUGCCUAACACAUGCAAGUCAAGCGAAUGAAGUUCCUUCGGGAACGGAUUUAGCGGCGGACGGGUGAGUAACACGUGGGCAACCUGCCUCAUAGAGGGGAAUAGCCUUCCGAAAGGGAGAUUAAUACCGCAUAAGAUUGUAGUACCGCAUGGUACAGCAAUUAAAGGAGCAAUCCGCUAUGAGAUGGGCCCGCGGCGCAUUAGCUAGUUGGUGAGGUAACGGCUCACCAAGGCAACGAUGCGUAGCCGACCUGAGAGGGUGAUCGGCCACAUUGGGACUGAGACACGGCCCAGACUCCUACGGGAGGCAGCAGUGGGGAAUAUUGCACAAUGGGGGAAACCCUGAUGCAGCAACGCCGCGUGAGUGAUGACGGCCUUCGGGUUGUAAAGCUCUGUCUUCAGGGACGAUAAUGACGGUACCUGAGGAGGAAGCCACGGCUAACUACGUGCCAGCCGCCGCCGUAAAAC